rnacentral:rRNA from 1 species
GACAGAGGGUGCAAACGUUGCUCGGAAUCACUGGGCGUAAAGGGCGUGUAGGCGGGAAGGAAAGUCAGAUGCGAAAGCCCUGGGCUCAACCCAGGAACUGCAUUUGAAACUCCCUUUCUUGAGUGUCGGAGAGGAAAGCGGAAUUCCUGGUGUAGAGGUGAAAUUCGUAGAUAUCAGGAGGAACACCGGUGGCGAAGGCGGCUUUCUGGACGACAACUGACGCUGAGACGCGAAAGCGUGGGGAGCAAACAGG